CCUGGCGGCACGUAGCGCGGUGGUCCCACCUGACCCCAUGCCGAACUCAGAAGUGAAACGCCGUAGCGCCGAUGGUAGUGUGGGGUCUCCCCAUGCGAGAGUAGGGAACUGCCAGGC
rnacentral:rRNA from 3 species